UAAUAUUACAUUUUUGGCUAAUGAUACAAAAGAAAAAUUUCACAAUGCCUCAGCAAACAAAAACCUUGUGAAAUUUAUGCAAAGUCUGAUGAAAUUCAGAAGGAAUUUAAUUAUGAGAAACCAUACAAUGGUGACAACCUUCAUUCUUCUAGGACUGACAGGUGAUUUACACUGGCAAACUGUAAUUUUCCUUUUUCUAUUUUUAACGUAUUUAUUGAGUGUCAUUGGAAAUCUAAUCAUUAUCCUGCUCACCUUGCUGGAUUCUCACCUCAAAACACCCAUGUAUUUCUUCCUUCGGAAUUUUUCUGUUUUAGAAAUCUUGUUGACAUCUGUCUGCAUCCCUAGAUUCCUAGUAAGCAAAGUGACUAUGGAUAAAACUAUUUCCUAUGAUGCUUGUGUGACACAAUUAUUUUUUGUCAUUUUUUUUGGGUGUAUCAGAGUUUUUUCUGCUGGCUGCCAUGUCCUAUGACCGUUAUGUGGCCAUCUGCAAACCCCUGCAUUAUGCAUUCAUUAUGAGCAACAGAGUCUGCAACCAGAUGGCUGUUGCCUCUUGGUGGGCUGGUUUGUUAAUGAUCUUUCCUAGACUUACAUGGGCCUGAGAUUGGAAUUCUGUGAUGCCAAUAUUAUUGACCACUUUUUCUGUGACUAUUCUCCUGUUCUGAAACUCUCCUGCACAGACACACAGGUCAUAGAAAUGUUAAGCUUUAUUUUAGCCACUGUCACACUCCUGAUUACAUUGGUCCUGGUAAUGUACUCCUACGCAAAUAUCAUAAAAUCUAUUCUGAAGGUUUCUUCUGCGCAGCAGAGGAAGAAGGCCUUUUCUACCUGUUCCUCCCAUAUGAUUGUUGUUUCCAUCUCUUACGGCAGCUGUAUUUUCAUGUAUAUUAAAUCUUCUGCAGAAGAAGGGGUAGCUUUAAACAAGGGAGUAGCAAUACUCAGCACUUCAGUUGCACCUGUAUUAAAUUCUUUUAUAUAUACCUUAAGAAAUAAGCAAGUGAAACAAGCCCUGAAGAAUAUAGUAAAAAAGUAUAUCUUUACUACUUUGAAAUGAAAUAAUAGUUUUAGGUAUUAUAAUAGAAUGCCACUCAAACUUAUUGAAAAUUGUAG
rnacentral:lncRNA from 1 species